AGCGAACGCUGGCGGCAGGCUUAACACAUGCAAGUCGAGCGGGCGUAUCAAUACGUCAGCGGCAGACGGGUGAGUAACGCGUGGGAACAUACCUUUUGGUUCGGAACAACACAGGGAAACUUGUGCUAAUACCGGAUAAGCCCUUACGGGGAAAGAUUUAUCGCCGAAAGAUUGGCCCGCGUCUGAUUAGCUAGUUGGUAGGGUAAUGGCCUACCAAGGCGACGAUCAGUAGCUGGUCUGAGAGGAUGAUCAGCCACAUUGGGACUGAGACACGGCCCAAACUCCUACGGGAGGCAGCAGUGGGGAAUAUUGGACAAUGGGGGCAACCCUGAUCCAGCCAUGCCGCGUGAGUGAUGAAGGCCCUAGGGUUGUAAAGCUCUUUUGUGCGGGAUGAUAAUGACGGU
rnacentral:rRNA from 1 species